UACGAAGGGGGCGAGCGUUGUUCGGAAUCACUGGGCGUAAAGGGCGCGUAGGCGGCCCUCUUAGUCGCGUGUGAAAGCCCCGGGCUCAACCUGGGAACGGCGCGCGAAACGGGAGGGCUGGAGUUCGGGAGAGGAGAGUGGAAUUCCCAGUGUAGAGGUGAAAUUCGUAGAUAUUGGGAAGAACACCGGUGGCGAAAGCGGCUCUCUGGACCGAGACUGACGCUGAGGCGCGAAAGCGUGGGGAGCAAACAGG
rnacentral:rRNA from 1 species